rnacentral:lncRNA from 1 species
CUGCAGACGCUGAGGGGCGGCAGCUGCGCGGCGGCCCCGGGCCGGGCGGUACCGCAACCGGCGGGCCGGGCUGGACCGGGACGAGCAGUGGCGGUCCCGGCGGCGGCAGCAGCGACCGGUGGGGAACGAGGCACCGCAGAGGGCCGGAGCCGGGUUGCGGCAGGGGGAGCCGGCGCACUUCGUCUGCCGGGGGGCCUUGGGAGGUUCAGGUUCGGGGGCAGCGGGAGAACCGGGGCGGCCCGGGUCUGUCCGGGGACAGCGGGGGGUGGAGGCCCGACCCGGCCCCCGCCGGGGCUGCCAGGAACCGGGAGUCGCGGCCGCCGGGCCGGGCCAGGGAAGCCGCUGGGCUGCCGGCAGCGGUGCCCAGUGCCCGGUCCCGCAGCAACGGGAGAGGCGGGGGCGGUGGGACCGGGGAGAUAGGGCCGGGCCGGGCGCUCCCCGCGGGGCCCGUCCCGGUGUGGGGCUGCCCCGGGGUGGGGGGAGUUCAGUCCGGCCCCGGCGCUGCGGGACGGGACGGGGAACACCGGGGCGGUGGUGGGGCCCGUCCGGAGAGGGCAGGACCGGCGGCCCUGGCUCGGGGGGGCUGCGAGUGCUCCCGGGACGCUUCUGYCCUCCGUCCGUCCGUCCGUCCCGCAGGGGCCGAGGCUUCCGGGACGGACCGAGCCGGACGGAGCUGCGGAGCCGCCGCCGGGAGCCGGAGCCACCGCUGGGGCCGAGGCCCCCGGCCACAGCCGCCGGCUACUGCCCUGCGCCGCGGGCUGGGGCCGCUCCGGUGCGGGGCCCCCGCGGGAGCAACCCGGCCGGGAAGCAGCCGCUGCCCCGGGCCGGGGGGGUCACCGGGUCCCGCUGGGGCAGCCCUGAGCCCCUGUGUGGGGAAGGGGCCGCGAGCAACAAGCAACCAGUGCACAAAUACUGGACCAAGCACACGAACAUUGAAGUGGGGGCAAGCAACAACCUUCUGGGUAUUGAAUGAUGUAGACUAAUGAGCUCAUGGAUGUGGAAUCAGUGUUGAGCAAUUAGCUCAUGUACAUUGCAUCAAUGUGGAUUAAUGAGCUUAAAAAAUUCAAUGAAUGUUGACUAGUUUGCUUAUGUACACUGACUCUGUAUUGAGUGGCUUAUGAAUAUUGAAUCCAUGUUGACUAAAUAGCUUAUGAAUAUGUGAUCAYUGUUAACUAACAAGCUUGUGAAUAUGGAAUCAAUAUUGACUAAUUAUUUAAAAGUGAUUCAAUACCUACAAGCUAACUGGUUAUUUAGUAUUCAAAGUAUUUUAUAAAUGUUGAUUAGUUAGUUUAGGUAUGUUGAAUGAGUGUUAACUAAUUUGCCACUGAAUCAGUGUUAAGCAAUUUAGCUUAUGAAUAUUGAAUUAAUAUUAACUGAUUAGUUCAUAUUGGUUCAAUACUUCUAAACUAAUUGGUUAAUAAGUGUGGAAAGUAUUGGAUGAAUGUUGAAUAAAUAGUGGCCCU